rnacentral:rRNA from 1 species
GGGUUGUGAGGUUAAGCGACUAAGCGUACACGGUGGAUGCCCUGGCAGUCAGAGGCGAUGAAGGACGUGCUAAUCUGCGAUAAGCGUCGGUGAGGUGAUAUGAACCGUUAUAACCGGCGAUUUCCGAAUGGGGAAACCCAGUGUGUUUCGACACACUAUCAUUAACUGAAUCCAUAGGUUAAUGAGGCGAACCGGGGGAACUGAAACAUCUAAGUACCCCGAGGAAAAGAAAUCAACCGAGAUUCCCCCAGUAGCGGCGAGCGAACGGGGAGGAGCCCAGAGCCUGAAUCAGUGUGUGUGUUAGUGGAAGCGUCUGGAAAGGCGUGCGAUACAGGGUGACAGCCCCGUACACAAAAAUGCACAUAUUGUGAGCUCGAUGAGUAGGGCGGGACACGUGGUAUCCUGUCUGAAUAUGGGGGGACCAUCCUCCAAGGCUAAAUACUCCUGACUGACCGAUAGUGAACCAGUACCGUGAGGGAAAGGCGAAAAGA